UAGACGCUCUUCAAUCUCACCUCUAAUCGUGCUGCGUGCUGCAAGCCGGUGCCACACACACGCCACUCUAAGGUCAGCGCCAAACCCGUAGCUGCUGCCAGUUGCUCUGCGGUGCAGCAUAUGCGGCAACCGACUGACCGUCCUCGGUGUCGUUGACUUCUUCGAUGCUCAUGGAGAUGAAUCACGGAGCGGUAACUUCCGCAAAAAAGGUGAAAAAUGAGAUUGUUUUUAAUACAGGAUCAAGUUUAGGAAUGGAUGACAUUGGAUUGCAGCAUUGGAAGGUAAUAAGAUCACCAUUGAAUAUCCACCCCCGGGGUAAAAGUGGAUGCAAGAGAUGUAGUGACACAGAUCCCUUUCCUUACGAUUGUUCAUCUGAAUCAAAUCAAUUGAGCCUUCAAUUCGUUGUAACCUUGCUGCCUUCCUCCCCGGCCCUCCCCGCGUACUUCUAUCCUUCGAUGGUUAUCUCCACUUCCUAGCUGGCAGUCCACCAAACUCGAUGCGAGUAUCUCGUGCAAACAUCCCAUUCAACAUUCGCAAUAAGAAUACCCUCACCGGUCUGAAUGCGUGUGCCAACCAUCAUCGCACAAAAUUGAUACCUUCGAUCCAUCCAACCAGUGGACCCAAUGACACUACUCAGUGCAAACGUUCUGAGGAAUUGAUUACAGAGCGUUCUCCAAAGCUCCGUAUUCCGUCGCAAUUUGUGCCCCCAUGCGGCUCAACCAGACUGCCACGCUUCUGCCACGCUGUGCAAAUGGGCAAACAAUUUCAAGUGUAAGGUCAACUGCUCGAUGCCAGCUUGUCGCGGCCGCGGGUACCCCACGGGUGGCAUUAGACGCGUCUGUUUGCGUCUCUUUCAACAGCUUUCAUUGAUUAGCGAUUCCGUAUGAAGCGAUCGUAAGAUAUUCACACAUACACACACAUGCAAGAUUGCAACGAAAUAGAAUACAUUAUUAUUACAAAGACAUGUAUUUUUCUUCCACAUACCUCCCAAUAUCCUCCAACACAGACACACAUCACGACGGUGCAGAGAGCACGUUGAACUCCGGCAAUCGACGACUACUGGGAUCUUGUUCGAAUGUUCGAUGAGCGGUGCCAUGCGGAAGGUAUGUCAGCGUCGUCGAUUGCUACGAUCUUGCCAUUUGUCUCUCGGCUGCACGUGACUGCAGCCCGUUCCCAGGGCAACCGCCCCGCGUCGGGUUCACUACUGGCUAGUCACGUGUGUUUGCGUGGCUUUCGAUGACGGCUUCGCGGGUGCACCGAACUCACCGCGGUGCCGCAUUCUUUGCGCACACACUACGCUGCACGCCCCAAAAAAGGGGAAACGAAACGGGACAGGAAGCGGUAUGAAUUUAUUAUUUCACAAUUUGUCACCAUCCUCACCAGUGCUCCUCCUCCUCGUGUUCCAACCACAACAGAUUGGGGUUGGUUCGUGCACCGUUCGGUGCGUUCGGUGCCGCAGGAAGUUCAAGGUUGUCAUACGGCGGUGUACCGGUGCAUUGACACAUUGCUUGUUGGGUGCCUCAGAACGGUGAUCGUUUGCCGUUGGAUGUGCGAGUGAAGUGUCCCCUCAUGUGUGUGUGUGUCAUUUCUUCGUCCAAAAGACUCCCCCACCACUCGAGAUAAGCAGCAGUUUUGUUGUUGUUUCUGUGCGUGUGUGUGUCUUUCUCUCCGUGCUGGACCACAAACUGGCUCAAAGUGGUUCCGCUGUCCGACCGACCAGGUGUAACCAGGCACCGGAAGAGGAAUAACGCAAACAAACAAACGCAAACAACCGCAAACACCCAUCGCCUGUGUUGAGGGUGGAGUACUUUUUGAAUAAGUGAAUUUAUGCAGUGCUUUUACAUACAAAGAAAGAGUAAUGUGGCGUUGUCGUCGCCGUAGUCGUCGUCAUUGCUGCUGGUACUCCACCCCCGGCACAAGUGGAGCUUCAUUUGCAUUCUGGCGCCUUUUUUGUGUUUGUGUUUGGAGCCGUCAAAAACACAUAUCGUCCAGCAUUAUAACGGGGCGCGAACCGGUGCGUGAGCAGAAACGUUGAAAUGCAAAUUGACGGGCUCAUUUAUGCAAGAUAAAUGGCUCGAUUAUCAGGUGAUCGCAAGUUGUGAUGAAAAGGCAGCAGUUUCGGUUGCACCGUUACUAUUCAAAUCCGGCGGCAAUCGGUGAACCGACGAGUGAACGAAUGGUGCUCGUGCGCGGUAACAAAGGCGAAGAAGAUGCUGUUAAACACACACAAUUGUGCAGAACAGUGCCAACAGUGUCCUUGGAGAUCAAGAAGUGACAGCUCAGAGUAGCUAUUAUUGUAGCUAAUUGAUAUUGAAAGGGAAUUGCUACGUUAACUAGUGUAAAGAAAAAAGCUAUCUAUCCGAAGUUCAGUGAUAUUUACGUUAGAAGUGAGCAUGCAAUAGCCCUACCCCAAGCGGCCCCCCUCUCCCCAUCUACCACAACUAUAUUAGGUCCAUUAUAAUCAUUUUAUUUUUACAGGAUACUUGAAAUACAUUUUUAAAAAGUAUUAACCGUAAUACAGUUUCAAUUAAUCUGCAGCUAGUUUAUACGCAUUUUGUUUGUUGGGUUUUGUUUGUUUGUUUGUUGCUUUUGCUGUAGGAUUAUUAAUUUUGAAUUAGUGUUCGGUAAGAUGGGUUUGUUGGAAAUUGUUUCUUUUAUACCAUUUUUUAUACGAAAUGUACCAAAAAAGCAUUUUGUUCGCAUAUUCUCCCCCCCUGUCCCUUUUCUCGCCUACCGAUCCUUUCCCUACCACUGCCCGUUGCGCGCUGUCCUGCUCCUUAUCAGUAAAUACAUACUUGUGUGAAAAUGUGUAUCUGUGUGUGUGUAUUUGAUUAGUAGGUGUGAAAAGUGAUGUUUCUUUUUUCAGUGCAGAGUGUGAAAAGCGAACCAAUUGUAUCACUAGCUGUUGCGGGUGAUUAGUAUAACGCAUUACGUGCAAUGGAUUCUAAAACACAGAUAAAGGGGUAGAAUGUGUUGUAAUUAUGCAAUUUUAAAACACUCAGGUCUCUAAUUAAAAUGCCGAAUUAUCACUGGGUCUGAUUUUGUAUUGUGUGUCUUGUGUUUGUGAUUGGGAUUCUUACGAACUUCUGCUAGCUCGAAUCCACACCAUCAUACGUAUGUAUAUGUACAAACAGCUUUUGCCACGCCCACUGCCAUCGCACGUGGCACCUUCGUCCUGUUGCUAGGAAACGUGGCGAUCCCACUACCAACAUGGCUGCGAUCUACAGCGUGGCCAAUGAAGCGAGAAAUAAAUCCGAACAAAAUACUGUUGCCGCUUACAGUUACUUCUUACUACUGCUAACCCAUCUCGGAGGGAGGGCAAGGAAGUGUGUACACGUUAAACUAGCGCAAAACAUAUUUAAAAACGAAUCAACAAGCUGUUUUAUAUGCCACAUCCAUAUGUGCAUAAUAGUAUCUUUGUGUGUGAGUGUGUGUGUUUUUUUUAGGAAUUAUGUCCUAUUAUAUCGUUUUUGGCCGUUAAUUUCGCAUGGUUUUUCCACCCCCUCCUUUUCUGGAGCAUCCUCUAACGCGCUUGUAGCAUGUUAGCUUGCUUCGGGUUGCGCACGUGCGCGCUCACGAAAAGCAUAUGCAUGGAGGCGCAUGGUGAACUGAAUUGCAACACACACACACCCGCACACGCGCGACAACAUCAACAACAACAACAACACGCAGAUCGUUACGGAGAUUGAUAAAAUCGCGAAUGCCAAUCAAAAGGGAGGCGCAUUUAAUACAAGGGAAGGAAACGAACAACGCAAAUGUACAACACAUUGUCGACGCAAGAGUUAAAUGCAUCAUGCAUAACGGUGUGUGUGUGUUUAUGUGUGAGUGUGUGUAAAUUGUGUCACAUAACGCAUCAACACCAUCAUCAGGGCCCAACAUCAACAUCAUCGUACGAGACGUUUGGAGGGCUAAUCUCACAGUUUGUUUCUUUUGAAUGCAAUGCAAUUGCCGUUUUCAUUCACCUUGGGGGUUUUUGGUUAGCAAAUAUUCAAUAGCCGUUUUUUUGGCCGACCACCACACACACACACACACACACACACCGAACACGACCUCACACGAGUUGGAGCAAAGUUUCGAGAAGCAAUGCCAACAAUGAGCAAAAUCCCCAGGAUCCAAUGCUCCCGUGGUUCGGUCA